rnacentral:rRNA from 1 species
GAUGAACGCUGGCGGCGUGCCUAAUACAUGCAAGUCGAGCGAACGGACGAGAAGCUUGCUUCUCUGAUGUUAGCGGCGGACGGGUGAGUAACACGUGGAUAACCUACCUAUAAGACUGGGAUAACUUCGGGAAACCGGAGCUAAUACCGGAUGAUAUUUUGAACCGCAUGGUUCAAAAGUGAAAGACGGUCUUGCUGUUACUUAUAGAUGGAUCCGCGCUGCAUUAGCUAGUUGGUAAGGUAACGGCUUACCAAGGCAACGAUGCAUAGCCGACCUGAGAGGGUGAUCGGCCACACUGGAACUGAGACACGGUCCAGACUCCUACGGGAGGCAGCAGUAGGGAAUCUUCCGCAAUGGGCGAAAGCCUGACGGAGCAACGCCGCGUGAGUGAUGAAGGUCUGCGGAUCGUAAAACUCUGUUAUUAGGGAAGAACAUAUGUGUAAGUAACUGUGCACAUCUUGACGGUACCUAAUCAGAAAGCCACGGCUAACUACGU